AUGAGCAGCAAUGUGGAAGAUAGAAUAGGAAAGGUGCCCAGCUAUGGCGCCCGGCGGGUCGGCAGCGUGGCCAGCGUCUCUGCAGGUGCCGAAGGCUCUAGUUCCCUCAUUUCCAUGUCCGGCUCCACCAGCUUCGGGGCGGCAUGGGGGCCUGGGGCCUGGCCGCGGGGAUGGUCGGGGGGUCUGGUAGGAAGUGGGGGCAUCCAGAACGAGAAGGAGACAUGCAAAGCCUGAACGACCGCCUUGCAUCCUACCUGGACAGAGUGAGGAGCCUGGAGACCGAGAAUCAGAAGUUGGAGAGCAAAAUCCGGGAGCACCUUACUUCAAGACUAUCAAGGACCCGAGGGCUCAGAUCUUCACACAAAUACUGUGGACAAUGCCUGCAUCGUUCCGCAGGUUGAGAAAGCAAUGCCCGUCUUGCUGCUGAUGGCUUUAGAGUCAUGUAUGAGACAGAGCUGGCCACGUGCCAGUCUGUGGAGAGCAGCAUCCGUGGGCUCCGCAAGGUCACUGAUGACACCAAUGUCACUCGGCUGCAGCUGGAGACAGAGAUCAAGGCUCUCAACGAGGAGUUGGUCCUUAUGAAGAAGAACCAUGAAGAGGAAGUAAAAGGUCUACAAGCCCAGAUUGCCAGUUCUGGGUUGACCAUAGAGGUAGAUGCCCCCAAAUCUCAGGACCUCACCAAGAUCAUGGCAGACAUCUGGGCCCAAUAUGAUGAGCUGGCUCGGAAGAACCGAGAGGAGCUGGACAAGUACUGGUCUCAGCAGAUUGAGGAGAACACCACAGUGCUCACCACGCAGUCCGCCGAGGUUGGAGCUGCUGAGAUGACACUCACAGAGCUGAGACAUACAGUCCAGUCCUUGGAUAUCGACCUGGAGAAAUAUGAAGGCCAGCUUGGAGCACAGCCUGAGGAGGUGGAGGCCUGCUAUGCUCUGCAGAUAGAGCGGCUCAACAAGAUCCUGCUGUACCUGGAGUCAGAGCUGCCACAGACCCGGGCAGAGGGACAGCGCCAAGCCCAGGAGUACCCACAUCAAGGUCAAGCUGGAGGCUGAGAUCGCCACCUACUGCCACCUGCUGGAAGAUGGCGAAGACUUCAAUCUUGGUGAUGCCCUGGACAGCAGCAACUCCAUGCAAACUAUCCGAAAGACCCGCUGGAUGGUGGAUGGCAAAGUGGUGUCUGAGACCAACGACACCAAAGUUCUGAGACACGAAGCCAGCAGAAGCAGGGGACACUUUGGGGAGCAGGAGGCCAAUAAAAAAUUCAGAGGUCAAAAAAAAAAAAAAGAUUAA